GUUUUUGGGGAUAGAGGGACUUGAACCCUCACGAUUUUGAAAGUCGACGG
rnacentral:tRNA from 2 species